rnacentral:rRNA from 1 species
GGGGUGACGGCGUGCCUAUCGAAAAAUGAGUCUGCGAGUCAGUGGCACGUGGCGAGCGUAACCCGUGUGGGGUACGCGUAGCGAAGGCGAGUCUCAAAAGGCGUUUGAGUCGCGUGUCCUGGACCCGAAGCGGGAUGAUCUAGCCCUGGGCAGGUUGAAGCGCGGGUAAGACCGCGUGGAGGACCGAACCCACCUGGGUUGAAAACCGGGGGGAUGACCUGGGGCUAGGGGUGAAAGGCCAAUCAAAUUCCGUGAUAGCUGGUUCUCUCCGAAAUGCAUUUAGGUGCAGCGUCGGCUUAUUGCAUCGCGGGGGUAGAGCUACUGGAUGCUUGCGGGCCCGUGUCGGGUACCAACAGCAGCCAAACUCCGAAUACCCGUGACGCGUAUCCCGGCAGUGAGUCGGCGGGGGAUAAGCUCCGUCGUCGAGAGGGAGACAGCCCAGAUCGUCGUCUAAGGUCCCGAAGCGUGUGCUAAGUGGGAAAGGAUGUGGAGUCGCAUAGACAGCCAGGAGGUUGGCUCAGAAGCAGCCAUCCUUGAAAGAGUGCGUAACAGCUCACUGGUCUAGUGGUUCCGCGCCGACAAUGUAGCGGGGCUCAAGCACACCACCGAAGACGCGGCAACAGUUUUUGCUGUUGGGUAGGAGAGCGUCCCGCGUGGGGCGAAGCGGCCGGGGAACCGUGCCGUGGACCGCGCGGGAGUGAGAAUGCAGACAUGAGUAGCGAGAGACGGGUGAGGAUCCCGUCCGCUGGAUGACCAAGGGUUCCGGGGCCACGUUCGUCGUCCCCGGGUGAGUCGGGUCCUAAGGCGAGGCCGACAGGCGUAGUCGAAUGGAUGAACGGGCUGAUAUUCCCGUACCGGCAGCGAACCGAAACAACCGAGGCCUGGGGCGCUAACCUCCGGGCCCGUGCCGUCUCCCCUUUCGGGGGGUCGCGGCGCGGGCGCGUUGGGAUCCCCCCUUGUAGUAGGUCAGCGCAGGAGUGACGCAUCAGGGCAGCCGGCCGCGGAGGUGGUUUUCCGUGGUCAAGCGUUCGAGCCCGUCCCGCAGGCAAAUCCGCGGGGCGUCGGGGCGAGGCGUGAUGAUGGGGGCCUUACGGCCCGAAUCCGGUGAUCCGUGGUGCCGAGAAAAGCUUCGGCGUCAGGCGCGUUGCCGCCCGUACCCCAAACCGACACUGGUGGUCAGGUAGAGAAUACCAAGGCGAUCGAGCGAAUCCUGGUCAAGGAACUCGGCAAAUUGCUCCCGUGCCUUCGGCAUAAGGGAGACCCCCGCGGGUGAACGGACAUGCUCCGGGAGCGUGUGGGGGUGGCACAGACCAGGGGGUAGCGACUGUUUACCAAAAACACAGGUGCAUGCGAAGGCGUAAGCCGCUGUAUAUGCACUGACGCCUGCCCGGUGCCGGAAGGUUAAGAGGAUCCGUCAGCCCCUUUUGGGGUGAAGCGGUGAAUUCAAGCCCCGGUAAACGGCGGUGGUAACUAUAACCAUCCUAAGGUAGCGAAAUUCCUUGUCGGGUAAGUUCCGACCUGCACGAAUGGCGUAACGACUUCCCCACUGUCUCGACCAGGAGCUCGGCGAAAUUGCAGUACGAGUAAAGAUGCUCGUUAAGCGCAGAAGGACGAAAAGACCCCGGGACCUUUACUAUACCUUGGUAUUGGCAUUAGGCGCGGAUUGUGUAGCAUAGGCGGGAGGCUUCGAAGCAUGGGCGCCAGCCCGUGUGGAGCCGCAAGGUGAAAUACCGCUCUGUUCUCGUUUGACGUCUCACCUCGAACGGUCAUCCUGUUCAGGGACAGUGCCUGGCGGGUAGUUUAACUGGGGCGGUUGCCUCCCAAAGAGUAACGGAGGCGCUCAAAGGUCCGCUCAGCCCGGUUGGCAAUCGGGUGUCGAGUGCAAUCGCACAAGCGGGCUUGACUGCGAGGACGGCGGUCCGAGCAGGGACGAAAGUCGGAGAUAGUGAUCCGGUGCCGGCGCACGGGCGCGGCAUCGCUCAACGGAUAAAAGGUACCCCGGGGAUAACAGGCUGAUCAUUCCCAAGAGUCCAUAUCGACGGGAUGGUUUGGCACCUCGAUGUCGGCUCGUCGCAUCCUGGGGCUGGAGCAGGUCCCAAGGGUUCGGCUGUUCGCCGAUUAAAGCGGCACGCGAGCUGGGUUCAGAACGUCGUGAGACAGUUUGGUCUCUAUCCUCUGCGCUCGUUGGAAUCCUGAGGAGGCCUGCCCAUAGUACGAGAGGACCUGGGUGGACGAACCUCUGGUAUGCCGGUUGUCGCGCCAGCGGCACGGCCGGUUGGCUACGUUCGGGAGGGAUAACCGCUGAAAGCAUCUAAGCGGGAAGCCUGCUCCGAGAUUAGGAUUCCUUACGGUCUUGAACCGUUGAAGCCCGCAUGUGGAACACGUGUUUGAUAGGCCGGAGGUGGAAGCCCCGCGAGGGGUGGAGCCGACCGGUACUAACGGGCGACGGCGACAUAGC